GAUGAACGCUAGCGGCAGGCUUAGCACAUGCAAGUCGAGGGGUAACAUAGAAAAGCUUGCUUUUCUGAUGACGACCGGCGCACGGGUGCGUAACGCGUAUACAACCUACCUUUUAGCGGGGAAUAGCCCAGGGAAACUUGGAUUAAUGCCCCAUAGUAUAUAGACUUCUCCUGAAGUUUAUAUUAAACAUUUAUGGCUAUUAGAUGGGUAUGCGUCCUAUUAGUUAGUUGGUAAGGUAACGGCUUACCAAGGCAGCGAUAGGUAGGGGUCCUGAGAGGGAGAUCCCCACACUGGUACUGAGACACGGACCAGACUCCUACGGGAGGCAGCAGUGAGGAAUAUUGGACAAUAGGCGAGAGCCUGAUCCAGCCAUGCCGCGUGCAGGAAGACUGCCCUAUGGGUUGUAAACUGCUUUUACAGAGGAAGAACCACCCCCACGUGUGGGGGUUUGACGGUACUCUGCGAAUAAGGAUCGGCUAACUCCGUG
rnacentral:rRNA from 1 species